ACUUAAGUAACUUAUAACUAGAGUGUAAUAUUGAAGCUAUUAAAGAAAUAUUUUAUAUUCUUAAGUA
rnacentral:tRNA from 1 species